CGGGAGUAGGGGUGGGGAGAAGAGCGUCCCGGGAAGCUGAACGCGUGCCGCGCGGCCCUCACGGUGCUUAGGCUGGGUGCAACCUAGAACGGAGGUUCCUUUCGUACCGUACAUCCAGGUUUGCACAGCGCGCUUAUGUCCCUCCUCCAAUCUGAUCUUGCACCAGCUCUGCAGUAGUUUUUCUUAUUAUCCUCAUUUUACGGAGGAGAGGGAGCUGUGGCUUAGAGAAGUUAAGAGACGUGUCCAAAUUCAUACAACCUGUUGGGCACCUCUUUAUCCCGAACGCUGUUCUAGGGGAUAGGGUUAGUGAACAAAAAACGCAAAAGCCCCUGACCGCCUGGGCCUUACAUCUAUUAGGAGGAGGAAGACAGAUAAACUAAGGCUCGUGCAAAGGAGAAAAAUAAAGCAAGGACAUG
rnacentral:lncRNA from 1 species